rnacentral:rRNA from 1 species
AGAGUUUGAUCAUGGCUCAGAUUGAACGCUGGCGGCAUGGCUAAAACAUGCAAGUCGAACGCGAAAGCACCUUCGGGUGCAAGUAGAGUGGCGUAAGGGCGAGGAAUACGUUCCUACGUACCCCAAGGUCGAGGAUAGCUCGGAGAAAUCCGGGGUAAUACUCGAUGUGGUGCUUCGGCAUCAAAGGCUUGUCUGCCUUGGGAGCGGGGAACGUCCUAUCAGGUUGUUGGUGAGGUAACGGCUCACCAAGCCGAAGACGGGUAGCGGGUGUGAGAGCAUGACCCGCCGCAUCGGGACUGAGACACUGCCCGGACUCCUACGGGAGGCUGCAGUAACGAAUAUUCCGCAAUGCACGAAAGUGUGACGGGGCAAUGCCGCGUGUGGGAUGAAGCCCCUCGGGGUGUAAACCACUGUCAGAGUUUAGGAACACAAUGACCAGACUCAAAGGAAGGGCCGGCUAACUCUGUGCCAGCAGCCGCGGUAAUACAGAGGGCCCGAGCGUUAAUCGGAAUCACUGGGCUUAAAGAGUGCGUAGGCUGACGUGUAGGUACCUUGUGAAAUCCCUCGGCUCAACCGGGGAAUUGCUCGGUAAACCAUACGUCUUGAGGCAGGUAGGGGUGGUCGGAACGCUAGGUGGAGCGGUGGAAUGCGUAGAUAUCUAGCGGAACGCCAAUGGAGAAGUCAGGCCACUGGGCCUGUCCUGACGCUGAGGGCACGAAAGCGUGGUAGCGAACGGGGAUUGGA